rnacentral:tRNA from 1 species
GAGGGUAUGGCAAAGUGGUAGAGCACAUGAUUAGCAUACACAAGGUCCUGGGUUCAAUCCCCAGUAUCUCCU